AGAUGUAUUAUGUGCAAAAAUGUGUUGUAGCCAAAUCUCUGAGAUAUCCCCAGACGACAUGUUUGUUGGAACGUCAAAAAAGGUUUUUUCUAUGAGGGAAAAGCUAUCCAAAGAGUGACUCCAAACGCAUGAAAAACUCUCGUCCUGAUCUAGACUAAGGUUGCAUUUUUGGAUAACGGUAUUUAAGUUGCUUUUCCAAGCAAUAAUGAGCAAAAAUUUAGAUUGAGAGCCCUCUGACGAUAUCAGUUGAAAAUCAGAAAGCAUCCAUGGUAUGAACUCAUCGUCUGGUAAAGAAGGAGGAAUUAUGCCCUUCUCGAUGACAACAUUUAAUUUAAAAGAGUGGGCGUUUGCGUUAAGUUUGUAAAUUGAAAAAGAGCCAUGAGAAUUAUCUGGGUAAUACAGAGCGAUGAAAGAAUUAGUGGUGUGAUCUGAAGUUAAAUAAGGAAAGGAUUGUAGAGGAAGUAUAGUCUGUGACAGUUCAAUGGUUUC